GACGUAGGACGCAAGCGUUAUCCGGAUUUACUGGGCGUAAAGCGUCUGUAGGCGGAGUGGUAAGUUGGGCGUGAAAGCUCCGGGCUUAACCCGGAGAGGACGAACAAUACUGCCAAACUAGAGGGCAUCAGAGGAGCGUGGAAUUUCCGGUGUAGCGGUAAAAUGCGCAGAUAUCGGAAGGAACACCAGUGGCGAAGGCGGCGCUCUGGGAUGCACCUGACGCUAAGAGACGAAAGCUAGGGGAGCGAACAGGAUUAGAUACCCCCGUA
rnacentral:rRNA from 1 species